GGUAGGGUUCUUCGGAACCUGAGACCGGCGCACGGGUGCGUAACGCGUAUGCAAUCUACCUUUUACAGAGGGAUAGCCCAGAGAAAUUUGGAUUAAUACCUCAUAGUAUAUAGACUCGGCAUCGAGAUUAUAUUAAAGUCACAACGGUAAAAGAUGAGCAUGCGUCCCAUUAGCUAGUUGGUAAGGUAACGGCUUACCAAGGCUACGAUGGGUAGGGGUCCUGAGAGGGAGAUCCCCCACACUGGUACUGAGACACGGACCAGACUCCUACGGGAGGCAGCAGUGAGGAAUAUUGGACAAUGGGCGCAAGCCUGAUCCAGCCAUGCCGCGUGCAGGAUGACGGUCCUAUGGAUUGUAAACUGCUUUUAUACGAGAAGAAACACUCCAACGUGUUGGAGCUUGACGGUAUCGUAAGAAUAAGGAUCGGCUAACUCCGUGCCAGCAGCCGCGGUAAUACGGAGGAUCCAAGCGUUAUCCGGAAUCAUUGGGUUAAAAGGGUCCGUAGGCGGUUUAAUAAGUCAGUGGUGAAAGCCCAUCGCUCAACGGUGGAACGGCCAUUGAUACUGUUAAACUUGAAUUUAUUAGGAAGUAACUAGAAUAUGUAGUGUAGCGGUGAAAUGCUUAGAGAUUACAUGGAAUACCAAUUGCGAAGGCAGGUUACUACUAAUGGAUUGACGCUGAUGGACGAAAGCGUGGGUAGCGAACAGGAUUAGAUACCCUGGUAGUCCACGCCGUAAACGAUGGAUACUAGCUGUUGGAAGCAAUUUCAGUGGCUAAGCGAAAGUGAUAAGUAUCCCACCUGGGGAGUACGUUCGCAAGAAUGAAACUCAAAGGAAUUGACGGGGGCCCGCACAAGCGGUGGAGCAUGUGGUUUAAUUCGAUGAUACGCGAGGAACCUUACCAAGGCUUAAAUGUAGAUUGACCGUUUUGGAAACAGAACUUUCGCAAGACAAUUUACAAGGUGCUGCAUGGUUGUCGUCAGCUCGUGCCGUGAGGUGUCAGGUUAAGUCCUAUAACGAGCGCAACCCCUGUUGUUAGUUGCCAGCGAGUCAAGUCGGGAACUCUAACAAGACUGCCAGUGCAAACUGUGAGGAAGGUGGGGAUGACGUCAAAUCAUCACGGCCCUUACGCCUUGGGC
rnacentral:rRNA from 1 species